UAGCUGCAGGGGGCUGUGGAUCCCAGCACAGCUUACUUAGGCACUUGUGGGCAUCAUAAUUUCUCAAAAAGUGGAUAAAUUAUGUGAGAGACUUACAUGGAUAAUAUACAAAUACCUAACAUCCUCUGCCCUGAUAUUGUGUUAAUGCUGUCAGAGUUGGUUGUAAUUUCUUUUGUGUUGUAAAAGUUAAGAUAUGAUUUUCUCCCCCCAGCUCUCUCUUUGAAUGCUAGAGGUGGCUUUUUGGUGUCUUGGCCUGUGCAUGCUGCACUGUGGAAUGCAGUGGGAUUUUCUCCUUGGUCUAUGUUGUGUACUUUUUCUUCUUUUUCUUUCUCUUCAGCAUUUUUACAGGAUGUAUCAGUGAAAGCAGAAAUUGUAGAAAGCAAUUUUAAAAGACUCUUGUUUUGAGGCACUUCCAGCUUGUAAAUAAAAACCACUUUCUUCAGCUUUCCUAAAAAUAAUUUUUUACUGUUAUCAGGCUAUUAAAACACAUUAUCUGCUUAUAAGGAAAAUAUUGCUCCAGGCUGUGUUGAGGUUAUUUAUUACUAACUACAUCCAUAUCUUUAUGUGUUUUGCAUACCUGUUGCUGAUCCAUGCUUGAGGUUCACAAAAAUGCAAAUAAAAUAUAACUUGCAGCCACCAUCACUUGCUCCCCUGUAUUGGAAAAGCAGCCUUAUGGACCAGACUGGAAAUGACAGGAAAGGAUUUCCUGGAACCAGAGAGCAAGACCCAGAGCAGAAGCAGAAGAGAACUGAUGGCUGGAUGGCAGGGAGAGAGAGAGACACAGUGGACUGCCUGGAGAAUGAUCUCCAGAUGUGCUCCAGAGAGCUUCAAGGACAGAAAUACGAGAACAAAUCCUACGGCAUCCUCUCAAAGGAAAAACUUUUUCCUCUUGAAUUAUGGGCUGCAUUUCAGAGUAUUGCACUGGAGAACUACAAACAAACAGCACAUUCUUUGCUUCCCAAGCCUUACUGCACACAGUUUUCCAUUUAUACCAUAACUAAUUAAAAUCAGCCUUCAAAUCAACAACAGAUGCAAUAGCAAGUCCAGUGCCUCACGGCAACUCUCAAAACUGGUAGCUUUGUGCAAAAGUUGAUUGCAAGCACUAGCAGCUGCUACAAAGGGAACAUGCAUGAAGGAGAAGAUGCACCAAGGGGAAGAUGAUACACUACUCAAGCAUAAUCAACUGCAACAAGUCAUGUAGAAGAGAAGAAACACUUUCUGUGUACCAAGGUAAAAUCAAGGCAGGGUUGUUAAAGACUGAUGAUUUGGAUCAGUUCCUGGAUGUCAAACAAGGAAAGAAACACACUUAAAGGAGGAAAACGGCUUCUAGCAUUUGCUCAAGCACAUGGCUUCAUGGCCCACACUUCAUUAGCAAUAAAUACCAAUCUCUUAGAGGUCCUCACAACACGUGCAGCGGGGCUGUUUGAACGUGACAGUCUCUGGAGCUGAGCCCCUCACAGGGGGCUGUGCCCUGUUUGCACACUGACAUCAUCUGCAGAAAGCAGGGCAUGAACACAUUCCUGACUGAAGCCUACACAAGGCCAAGUCAACCAAAGGUGAAGUCACCAAAGCCAUUGUAACUCUGCCCUGAAUACCACGAGAACUGUGAUAAGGCACAAUAUAUUAAAGUAAUCUCAAGAUACAUGUUCAACUUCUAGUUUCAUAUUGGUAUUACAAGAUCCAGCUGGAUUGACCAGGAAAUACAGUUAUCCAAUAGCAUAACAUAUUUGGAUCUCUCUGAAAACAGAUGAAAACAGCGACCUUGUUGAGAAAGGCUAUUCCCCAUGGAUAGUCUGAGGCAUUAUUGUGCCUCCAGUGGUCAUUACUCCUUUAAAAAAGGCCAGCAGCGACAAUUUUCUGUAGGUUAAUACAUACUAGUUCCUGUUUAGUAAUCACAAAUAAUCCACAGUGAUAAAUAAUAAUGGCUUAUUUUUCUUCCCACAAUGUAGUCUAUGAAUAAAAUAUUGGUGAAUUGAUACAAAAAACGUGAAAUGUCUGAAUUUCAUUGUUAGAAGUACAUUAAUCAGAAUUUUUUUCUUAAAUAUUUUCAAGAAACUCUCUUAAAAUUCAAUUUGUUGCGUACUUAAAAAAAUUAAGUACAACUGAAGAACAGAUCAGAGUCCAAACUCUCAGAAAAUUCAUUGUGUUACGCAAUUUUGGACACACGUGGUAUUCUUAAGCACACAAGAAAGAAGCUGCAUUUCUGUUUUCAGAAGAUGUGCCUUAAGGAUCAUUUCAGUUGCACUGCCCCACACAGCAUUCCCACAUUUGGAUGUAGCACCUGCAGAGAAGGCAUUUUCUCUUUGGCAGCUGCUGGCACCGUACUUACA